GGUUUCUGAUAAAAUGUUUCUGGGUCAUGUUACCAGCCCAGGUUUUCUUGCACUCAGGUGGGCUAAUUUAAACAGCUUUUCCCAGUGUGUGGGGGAUUGUGUGAGUAACUGGGAAGGAGACUGGUUGUUUCUAUGCUGAGCUGUAUCUUGCUAAAGUAUCCCCAAGUGACUGGAGAAAGGAACUGAUAAAACCUUACUAAGAGACUGUGUAUUAAAAGUUUAACAGAGGACUCUGGGACUCAAUACUGCAAAUGCUAAUCGCACACGUGGCAGGAAGAAAUCCAGUCAAGAUUGAAAAGUGCAACCUGUAAAUAACUGUACUUUGAAGUUUCUGGCUAUACUUCAAACGGCUUCGUCUUUUAGCAACAAUCUUUUGAAGUACUUUGGGUUUUGGUUACUUGAAGGGGAAAAAAAGACUUCCCAGCAUGGAAUCCGCUGG